GUACCCGUAGCUCAGCUGGAUAGAGCGUCUGCCUCCGGAGCAGAAGGUCGUGGGUUCGAAUCCCGCCGGGUACGCCA
rnacentral:tRNA from 3 species